rnacentral:rRNA from 1 species
AUGUCGAACUUCGCCGGCCACAUCAAGGAGCUCCGCGCGCUCAUCGCGGGCUCCUCCUCCUCCGCCGCCGCCCCGGCCUCCGCCCACUACGAGGCCAAGCUCCGCGAGGUCCUCCCCAGCCUCCUCCGCGACAACGUCCUCCCCGCCCCCACCGCGACCGAGAUGGAGACCAAGGUGGUGCUCAGGCUGCUCAACUACACGGCGCCCAGGUUCCCCGGGGUCUUCUCCAACGGCCGCCCCGCCGAGGUCAUCCGCGUCAUCGGCCGCAUCCUCCCCUUGUUCGCAGAACCCGACUACCAGUCAAUUAUAUUUGAGCCGGUUUGGUCUCUCCUCUCACUUCUCCGCACCGGUGACCGGGAGGCCUACAGGCAGUUCUUCCUGGAUGCGAUGGUUGCAGUAGAAGAUCUACAAUAUGUGGCAUCAAAGCACACGGAGAGUGGAUGUCUUUUAAAAUGCUUCUGUGGAUCCUUCUCAGACAUUUUGGAGUCCACUGCGAUUUUUAGUGACCUCCCAGAGAGGUUCCAGCCUAAAAAUGGACCUGGUGUGCUGAUUGAUCUGUCUGGUGACAUGAGGUGGUGUUCAUUUGCCACUUCGUUAAUUAGACUCAUCAACAAAUGCCUCACAGAUGGUACCCUGCAUGUUGAAGGGAUUGUUACCAUGCCAUUUGUUUCAGCUGCUUGUUCUAUUCUCUGUUAUGGGGAUGAAUCCCUGCACAAGGUUUGUUUUGAUUUUGCGCGGAUCGUUGCAACGGUGAUGACUGUUGAGAUUCUUCCUACGGAAACUAUUAUUCGUUCAAUCACAUCGAUUCUAAGCCAAGAUGUUAAUGAGCUUUCUAGUAUCAGAGAUCCAGAUUAUGACUUAUCAAUGGGUGCAUGUCUAAAUGCUUUGCAUUCUUUGUGUCCUGGUUAUAUUGUUGAAUCUACGGCUGCUGAUAUUGUCAAUGUUUUCACAAGGGCAGUACAGAUCAGUAGAAGCUCAGAGCUUCAGGCUGCGAUGUGCAAUGCGUACAUGAGAAUAGUUGAAGUCUGCCCCCCACAAGUAUGGAAACCAGAGAUCCUUCUGAAGUUGCUCUAUUUGCCCAAGCCUUAUGACAAAGUGACUGAAUGCAUUCGACUGGUUGUUGACAAAUUUGGUCAGAGUUUGGUGUCUGUGGAUGCCAGCGAUGAUCGAGGCAGCUUUCAGGAAAAAUCUGAAGUAUUUGAACUGCCAAAAGUCGGCCAGAAAAGAGUGGCUCAGAACCAGGAAAAUACUUUGUACAAACGUCAAAAGAUGUCUGAAUCACGAUCAACCAUUGGUUCAUUUAUGGCCAAAUUCUCUCCUGCUGGCAUAGGACAUGAACUAGCAAAAGAUUAUGCCUAUGAUCUUCAAUUGUCACUAAAUUCACGUAUUAAGUUCCUGUCACCUGACAAUCAUAAUGCUUAUCCAUUGGAGCCUGAUAUUGCUAUACAAGUGCUUAGUCUUCUUUCUCUUUCAUUCUGUGUUAACCCAAAGACAAGUCUGUUUAUUAGUAUUUCUAAGCAAGUUCUCUCCUGGAUCCCUUGGAUUUGCAAGCAGGCAACCGAGAAAUGUUUUUUUUCCUUCGACAUGUUACUAUAUUUCAAAGCUCUUCAGACUGUAAUGCUUCUCCGAUCCUUUCAUCCUGGAGACUCUAAACUGUUUGAAGAUGAAGCUCGGCUGAUUUGUGAUCGCAGUGAAGAUUUAGAUUAUCCACUAUAUGUUGACCUCAUCAGCUUGCUGAAACGGGUGUGGUCUGACGGUCAUGUUUCCACUCAAGCAUGCUUAGACAAGUUAAAAUGCCUUGUGGUACAAGUUAUUGCUAAGAUUGGCAACAGACUGAAUAUUGAUUGUGACCUUGAACUCCUUGAACUGGCUAUCCAUAGUGAAUCUGUGGAGGUUCAAAAUGAGGCUCUUAUGUCACUGCCCAUUAUUGUACUGUAUUCUGGUCCUACGAUGCUUGGAGUGAUGUUCAAGAAACUUGAGUUAUUUGGUGAUUUAGGAUCUGACAAAGUGUGGAAAUGUGUUGCCUUUUCACUCGGUUUCCUAUCUUGUUUAAAUGGAACAACUGAUGUUACUGACAAAGCGGGGAACAGUUGCAAGCUGUUCAUGGACAAGGACUCUAAGCAACCAGUCUCGACAUUGGAUCUUCUCUUGAAAGGUUUCUGGUGCCCUCACUGUGAUAACAGAACUGUCAAUACUAAAGAGCAGAUUUCUAUUGUGGACAUGGCAGUACUAGAAACUGAGAAUGUUGCCUUGAAACAUAAUAUUUUGAAGGCCCACACACUUUUUUUCAAGUUCCUAUAUGCACAGACUUCCAAAGAAUGUAUCAUUUCCAUGGUUGAAGUUUUGCCACGAGUUCUGAGACAUUCUAGCAAAGAGGUUUUACUUGAGAUGAAAAUUAAGUGGGUAAACUGUAUUGAUUUUCUGCUACUUAAUGGAAUGAAAGAUGUCAGAGAUGCAUUUUCUCUUGUAGUAUGCUGCUUUUUGGAAACCAGAGUCAUGGACAUUUUGUUCUCGGAUGAACUGGGAAUGGAGGGAGGGACUAAAGAACUUAAGUUCAUGGACAAAAUAAAGCAAGCUUUCGCAGAAGCUGAAGAUUCUCAUGUUCUACUGACUCUUUUGGAGUCUACUGCUACAAUUAUGCAAGCCAGUGAUACUCAAGGGGAAGUUUUUUUCUGCUCAUUUGUAUUGCUUAUUGCUCAGCUUGAUAACCAUGAUCCCAUUGUAAGGAAGACGGCAUCAAGAUUACUUCACAGAUGCUGCACUUACAGUUUCAAAGGAGGAAUAGAACUCUUCCUCUCGAAUAACUUCCGUGUUAGAGAUGAUUUAUAUGACUAUCUUUCAUCUAGACUAUUAAAUCAUCCUGUAGUGAUUAAUGAAUUUGCUGAGGCUGUUCUUGGGAUUAAGACUGAAGAGCUGAUUAGGAGAAUGGUUCCAUCAGUUAUACCAAAGCUUAUUGUGUCUCACCCAGACAAUGACCAAGCUGUUAUUACUCUGCAUGAACUGGCAAACCAUCUAAACACUGAACUAGUACCAUUGAUUGUUAAUUCACUACCUAAAGUGCUUUCGUUCGCUCUAUUCUAUGAAGAUGGGCAGCACUUGCCGUCUGUUCUACAGUUUUAUCACACCGAAACGGGAAGUGAUAGCAAAGAAAUAUUUGCAGCUGCUUUGCCAACACUGCUUGAUGAGAUCAUAUGUUUUCCUGGGGAAUCUGAUCAUAUCGAGACUGAUAGAAGGACAACAAGAAUUUCACCAACAAUACAGAAUAUUGCAAGAAUUUUGACAGGGAAUGACACCCUUCCUGAGUUCUUGAAGAAUGAUUUUGUCAGACUUCUCAAUAGCAUUGACAAGAAGAUGCUUCAUUCUGAUGACUUGAAGCUUCAAAAGCAAGCUCUCCAGCGUAUACGGAAGUUAGUUGAGAUGAUGGGCCCUUAUUUGAGUACACAUGCACCGAAGAUUAUGGUUCUGUUGAUAUUUGCCACUGAUAAGGAAGCUCUUCAAAUGGAUGGUCUUGAUGUGUUACAUUUUUUCAUAAAGCAAUUGGCUGAGGUAUCAUCGACCAGUAUCAAGUAUGUUAUGUCCCAAGUUGUAGCUGCUUUCAUUCCAUCUUUAGAGAAGUGCAGAGAAUGCCCUUCUGUGCACCUGAGAAAAAUUGUUGAAAUCCUAGAAGAACUUGUUGUGAAAAACAGUAAGUUGCUUAAACAACAUAUACGUGAACUGCCAUUGCUGCCCAGCUUACCAUCUUUGUCGGAAGUAAACAAAAUAAUACAGGAAGCCAGAGGAUCAAUGACUCUGCAAGAUCAUCUAAAAGAUGCCGUUGAUGGUCUUAAUCAUGAGAGCUUGAAUGUAAGGUACAUGGUAGCAUGUGAGUUGAGUAAAUUAUUCAAGGUCAAACGGGAGGAUGUUACUGCACUUAUAAUUGGUGAAGAUACUUCUGAUUUGGAUGUAAUAAGCGCUUUAAUUAUGGCUUUACUUAAAGGAUGUGCUGAGGAGUCAAGGACAAUGGUUGGCCAGAGGCUGAAACUAGUCUGUGCAGAUUGUCUUGGUGCACUGGGUGCAGUUGAUCCUGCUAAGUUCAAGGUAAUUUCGUGUGAGCGCUUUAAGAUUGAAUGUUCAGACGAUGAUCUUAUAUUUGAGUUGAUCCACAAGCAUCUUGCAAGGGCAUUCAGAGCAGCUUCCGAUACAACAGUACAAGAUUCUGCUGCCUUAGCUAUUCAAGAGCUACUAAAAUUGGCCGGCUGUCAGUCUUUACCCAAAGAAGAUAAUGGGGAAGAUUCAAGUAGUUGUGAAAUGAGCAGAAGGGGUCAGAAAUUGUGGGGACGUUUUUCUAGUUAUGUUAAGGAAAUAAUUGCGCCAUGCUUGACUUCAAGAUUUCAUCUUCCUAGUGUGAAUGAUGCUGCUUUACUUGGCCCAAUAUACCGCCCAACGAUGUCCUUCAGAAGGUGGAUAUAUUACUGGAUUAGAAAGUUGACAUCCCACGCAACUGGAUCGCGCUAUGGUAUCUUCAGUGCAUGCCGAGGAAUUGUUCGGCAUGACAUGCCAACUGCGCUCUAUCUCCUACCUUACUUGGUUUUAAAUGCUGUUUGCUAUGGAACUCCAGAGGCUCGGCAAAGUAUCACUGAUGAAAUAUUGUCUGUUCUCAAUGCAGCUGCUUCAGAAAGUAGUGGGGCUAUUGUUCAAGGUGUUACUGGGGGGCAGAGUGAGGUUUGUGUUCAAGCCAUCUUCACUUUACUUGAUAAUCUUGGGCAAUGGGUUGAUGAUCUCAAGCAGGAAAUUGCUCUAUCCCAGUCUAAUAAUGCCAUGGCUGGGAGGCAAGCAGGUAAAUUGAACGAAGAAAGCUGUUCUAAUAACGGCCAAGAUCAAUUGUUGGUGCAGUGUAGCAAUGUUGCUGAGCUGUUGGCUGCUAUACCUAAAGUUACUCUAGCUAAGACCUCUUUUAGAUGUCAAGCUCAUGCACGUGCUCUAGCAUAUUUCGAAUCUCAUGUCCGAGAGAAGUCCGGGUCCUCUAAUCCAGCUGCAGAGUGUAGCGGCACUUUUUCAGAUGAUGACAUCUCUUUUCUGAUGGAAAUAUAUGGAGGAUUGGAUGAGCCUGAUGGCCUAUUAGGUUUAGCUAAUCUGAGGAAUUCAUCAAGCCUACAAGAUCAACUUAUCAUCAAUGAGAAAGCUGGAAACUGGGCUGAAGUGCUAACACUGUGUGAACAUGCUUUGCAAAUGGAACCUGAUUCUGUCCAUAGACAUUGUGAUGUUCUCAACUGUUUGCUAAACAUGUGCCACCUUCAAGCCAUGAUUGCGCAUGUGGAUGGUUUGGUUGGCAGAAUACCUCAGUAUAAGAAAACAUGGUGCAUGCAAGGUGUGCAAGCAGCUUGGAGAUUAGGAAGAUGGGAUCUCAUGGACGAGUACCUACCCGAGGCAGACAAAGGUCUUGUGUACAGUAGCACUGAGAACAGUGCUUCGUUUGACAUAGGUCUAGCAAAAAUAUUCAAGGCGAUGACGACAAAAGACCAGUUUAUGGUUGCUGAAAAGAUCGCCCAGUCCAAGCAAGCGUUGCUUGUCCCGUUGGCUGCAGCAGGCAUGGACUCAUAUAUGCGUGCAUAUCCCUACAUUGUCAAGCUCCACAUGCUGUGUGAGCUGGAAGACUUCAACUCCCUGCUGGGAGAUGAGUCAUUUCUCGACAAAUCAUUCAGUGCAGAUGAUCCAAGUUUUCUGAAGUUAACAAAAGACUGGGAUAACCGUCUUAAAUGUACACAAUCGUCUCUGUGGGCAAGGGAGCCUUUGCUUGCUUUCCGAAGGAUGGUUUAUAAUCUUAGUCAUAUGAAUUCUCAAGUUGGGAACUGCUGGCUUCAGUACGCUAAGCUCUGCCGUUUGGCUGGACAUUAUGAGACAGCCCACCGUGCAAUACUGGAAGCAGAUGCUUCAGGUGCUCCAAACGUUCACAUGGAGAAGGCAAAGCACCUCUGGAAUAUACGGAAAUCUGAUAGUGCUAUAGCCGAACUUCAGCAAACACUUCUAAACAUGCCCGCGGAGGUUUUGGGAAAUGCUGUCCUUUCAUCUCUUUCCAGCCUUUCUCUUGCAUUGCCAAAUGCGCCUAUCUCUGCAACACAAGCAUCAAAAGAGAAUCCAGAUGUGUCUAAAACCCUUCUUCUUUAUACUAGAUGGAUCCACAAUACAGGGCAAAAACAGAGCGAGGAAAUCAAAACUCUCUACAGUAGAGUAACAGAGUUGCGGCCCAAGUGGGAGAAGGGUUUCUUUUGCAUGGCAAAGUUUUUGGAUGAUUUACUUGUUGAUGCUAGGAAACGUCAGGAAGAUAAGAAAUUCACAGGUGGAGUUGGAUCUGUUACUCCUGGCUCUGCUGGAAGUGCAAGUGCCCCAGCUAAAGAGAGGCCUUGGUGGGAGUUGGUUCCAACAGUCUUGCUAUGUUAUGCAAAAGGACUCCACAAAGGACACAAGAAUCUUUUUCAAGCACUACCACGGUUACUUACGGUUUGGUUUGAAUUUGGAAACAUAUACAUCCAAGAAGGGCGAAGUGCAGAAAUGAAAGUCGUUCAUGAUAGGAUGUUAGCCGUCGUCCGCGGGUGCUCGAAGGAUCUACCAACUUAUCAGUGGCUAACUGUGCUGUCUCAGUUGAUAUCUCGCAUCUGUCAUCAGAAUGGUGAACUUGUCAGAGUUGUAAGAUACAUUAUCCAGGUGGUUUUACAGGCAUACCCUCAGCAAGCACUUUGGAUGAUGGCUGCAGUGUCAAAGUCAACAGUUUCUGCAAGACGAGAGGCUGCUGGACAAAUAUUAAAAUUAGCAAAGAAGGGCGUUGGGAAGAGGAGCGACCAUGUUGCGCUGUUUAAUCAGUUUCCUUCUCUAAUAGAACAUCUGAUUAAGCUGUGCUUUCACCCAGGGCAGCCCAAGGCAAGGUCAAUAAAUAUCUCGACUGAGUUCAGUUCCUUGAAAAGAAUGAUGCCCCUAGGAAUUAUAUUACCUGUCCAGCAGGCUCUCACUGUAACUCUGCCAUCAUACGAUUCAAAUAUGUCAGGUCAAUCUACUUUUCACCCUUUUUCGAUCUCUGAGCAUCCUACUAUAGCUGGAAUAGCCGACGAUGCAGAGAUCCUAUCCUCCCUUCAGAAACCAAAGAAGGUUGUGUUCCUUGGAAGCGAUGGAGUGGCUCGCCCAUUUCUAUGUAAACCGAAGGAUGACCUUAGGAAGGAUGCACGCAUGAUGGAGUUCAAUGCUGUGAUCAAUCGUCUCCUCUCCAAAGUUCCUGAGAGCCGCAGGAGGAAGCUUUAUAUCAGAACCUUUGCCGUGGUUCCACUUACAGAAGACUGUGGACUAGUAGAAUGGGUGCCCAACACCCGUGGUCUUCGGCAUAUUCUUCAGGACAUAUACAUAACUUGCGGCAAGUAUGAUAGGAUGAAAACAAACUCACAGAUGAAGAGGAUAUAUGAUGUAUGCCAUGCCAGCAAAAUACCUGAAGAUGAGAUGAUGAAAACUAAAAUCCUUCCAUUGUUCCCCCCGGUGUUCCACAAAUGGUUCUUGACGACAUUCUCUGAACCAGCUGCAUGGUUUCGUGCCAGAGUGGCAUAUGCACAUACCGCCGCAGUUUGGUCGAUGGUUGGGCACAUUGUUGGGCUUGGUGACAGGCACGGCGAGAACAUCCUUAUUGACGCGACGACCGGGGACUGUGUUCAUGUGGAUUUCAGUUGCUUGUUUGACAAGGGUUUGCAGCUUGAGAAGCCCGAGGUGGUGCCGUUCAGGCUUACACAAAACAUGAUCGAUGGAUUGGGCAUCGCUGGAUACGAAGGCGUCUUUCUGAAGGUCUGCGAGAUCACUUUAUCGGUUCUCAGGGGCCACAAGGAGGCGCUCAUGACCGUCCUCGAGACCUUCAUCCACGACCCGCUAGUAGAGUGGACCAAAGCCCACAAGUCCAGUGGAGGCGAGGUCCGAAAUCCGCAAGCGCAGAGAGCCAUCGCCAACAUCACGGCGAGGCUCCAGGGUGUCGUGGUGGGCGUCAACGCCGCGCCCUCCCUGCCGCUCUCCGUCGAAGGGCAGGCGCGGCGGCUGAUCGCGGAAGCAGUCUCCCACAAGAACCUCGGCAAGAUGUACAUCUGGUGGAUGCCCUGGUUCUGA